rnacentral:lncRNA from 1 species
CUGUGUAUAAUUCUGGUGAAUAGUUUAGAGUUAUAGAGAUUGUAAUUUUGUAGGAUUGCAGGAAUGUUUUAGAGCCAUUAAACAUUAGUUUGAUGUUUAACAAGUUAGCCUUCAAAUUGAUGAUUCAUAUUAGGGAAUUCUUGAAAGUUGCUCUAGCAGUAACGUUUGGUGCUUUGUAAUUCAUGGAAAAUUCUUGUAUCAUGAAAAUUGAUGAACUAAGAAAUUGAAGGUUUGAGCCUUUUGAAUGUGUUCUAUCCAUGAAUAUUUGCAUCUGUGAUGCGAAACACCCAAGCUGUAUUCUUGAAAAAUAAUGCCUAAUUUAGUUAGUUACUGAUGAAUGCAUACAUAGUUAGAGCUAUGGCUGUGCUGAUGUUUUAUGGCGUAUUUGUCGUGGCAAGAAGAGCAUAAAUCGUGAUGGUAAAGUUCACAAGCUCACUUUGAGAUUAGUAGAUUUAUAUUUAUAGCUUUUGAUUUCUCACAAUGAGGUAGAAUAAGAAAUUGGCUGUGGUUUCUGUUUGAAUAGGAUCACUAACCAAUUUCUCAUUGAAGAUCAAGCUGUGAUCAUUAUGGCAUGGUGUUGAGCCUCUCUAACAUAUCUCCAUAUAUCAAAGAUGGCCGAUGAAAGUAUUUAACAUGACUUAGUGUUGGAUGAAGAUUGAAGGCAUGAUUUUCUGUUUGUUUCAGUAACAUCAUUGAUUGGAUAAAGAAAUGCACAUUACAGUCUCAUCUCAUUAUAUAGCAUAUACUGUUUAUGUUUAUCGUAGUCGUGCUAUGCAUUUCCUAGCAAGAGCAGAAGUCCGCGCCUGCUUUGGUGCAAGUCCAGACAUAUGAGGUGCAGAUCAUCAACUCUGCCUUAACGGUAUCUCAAAAUUCUCUCUCUUCUGGAUUUAUGGAUAACUGAAAUUGGAUUGUGAAGUUUACUUGUCCGUUGCUGCUUAUAUCUUGGUAGUGUGUUUUUCUAUCAAGAAUCAGAUUCUAUCUUGUAUAUCCUUGCUUCAAUUUUAGAAAAAACUGCAUGAAAAACAGACUAUGAAUAUCCUUGCUUCAGAUUUAAUAUGUACUUAUAUUUCAUGAUCUUAUUUAAUGCAAGGAAAAGAUGUUUCUCAUUUGCUUGGGGCUGCUACCUACUCUAGCUGUAUAUGCAUUGUUUUGAAUUCAUGAUUUCUAAUCUCAUUUGCCUUUUUCCUAUCUCACACUUUGGCCUUUCAUUGUCUUCUUGUCAUCAUCUACGCGUAUAGGAAUAUUAUACUGAAAACGACAUUUAUGGAUAUGCAUGAAUCUGAGUGGUAUACUGGAUGGAACUGAACUAUCGAUCUUUUUGAAGCAUGGUGGUGAGUACCACCACAACGUGUCGUCGGUGGGGGUUCGAGUCUUCUAGAUGCUAUAUUCAGUGUAUCGUCCAUCAUCCAUCGACACAUUUAGUAUGUGUCGGUGGAUGAUGUAUUUUAAUUACACGAGGUAUAUUUCGAUAUACUAGUGUCCCACAAUUUUAUGUACCACUAUUUCUCACUCUUAUAUCUAUUAUUUUAAUAAUAUUUUUUUUAUAAAAACAAAACUUUUAAUAAUACUAUGAAUUAUAUUUAAUUUUUAUUUCAAAAAAUUAUAUACAAUAAAUUUUAAUUUAUCAACCUAUUAUUGGUUAAUAUAAGUGAAAUUAAAUGAAAAAAUAAUUAUAUACUGUAAUUAGAUGGGAUAAAUUCUAAUUAAUAAUCACAAAAUUAAACUAAAGCAUACACAGUUGAAACUAAAGAAAACAUAUAUAAGAAAAUAAAUAAAAUUAAAAAUAGGACACAAAGUGAAAUAUUAAAUGUGAUACAUUGCAUCUCAAUUUGUAUAUUCCACCUAGUGAAACUGUUAUAAAUAAAACCCAUGCCAUACUCAUAAUAUUUUAUUUCAAAUUGCAUUAUAUUUUCUUAUGCAUGCUAUAGUUUAAGACAUCCUUAUUCAUAUGUGUUAUCUUCUGAUAUUGUUUGAGUUUUGAUAAUAUUGAAAAUAAAAGAUUCUCUCUGUCUGAGAAUUGUUGCUUCACUGCUUGCACAUGGUUGUGGGUGCUCUCCCUCCACCCUCGAUAGUGCGCUUUAUUUCUAAUAUAAAUCUUCCACUUUGCAUCAUGGAAUAUGUUAUAUAGUAAUGUGCUAUAAAUGCUUAAAUCAAAUAAAUGGAACUCUUGUUUGUGAUAUCAAUUUUUUGAAAAUCGGGAUUAUGAUUACAUAUUCAAUGAUUAGCAUUGAUAUAUAAAUACACAAACACGUGCUAAAUUAAAAUUCUCGUUUGACAAAGUUGACUAAGAGCAUCCACAUCAGAUCUUUUAAAAGUAAUCUUAAUUUUAAAUUUGAGCUAAAAUAAUAAAAAGUAAAAUAAAAUGAUCAUCCAAUAGAUCACCUAUAUUAAGUUGGGCCCAUAAAAAAAUUUACACUCCCUCAAAUCUAAUCCUAAAUUUAUAAAAUAGAUAAUGAAAAAUAGGAGAGUUUUUUUGUGCAAUUGUAAAAUAGGGAUUAAAAAUAAUUUAAGAAAGACUUUGUGAGUAUUUUUAGAAGUAAAAUUUUGAGAGAUCUGCUAUGAACUACGAACAUAUGUGAAAUCCUAGUUGACAAAGUUGACUACGAGCAAGUAAAUCAACGAAUAGUUAGCCUCCACGUGGCGAGGCAAUACGCAAUUCUGCUCUAGCAACACCAUAUCUUUUUUGUUUGUGCGCGUUAUUUUCCUCUAAAAUGAUUUGCACUAUUCUCCCUCAAAAUAAAUAAAUGAAUUUCUUUCACUAUUAAUCAAGACCACAAAAGAAACUUUUAUUGAGGGUCAACAAAUCUCCCGAUUACAAAUACCAUCAUCCACUUAAAUUGACUUAUGCAAUAAUUUUUUUGUCUCCUAUGUAGAAUUUUAAUUAGAAAUCAUUAAACCUUUAUUAUUUUAUUUUUAAAAUUUUCAAUUGAAAUUAUUAACCAUAAUUAUAAUUAUAAUUUAAUUAAGAAGGAGGCACCUAAUUAAGCGCAGCUAGUCUAAUCGAGAUCUGAUAAAACUGCAACGUUAUUUUAUAUAAUAUGAAACUAUGUCAAAAUUAAAGCUUGUAUCAUCAUCGCCAAAACUCUGAUAAUUCCAUAUCUGAUAACACUCUGCAUUUUUGAACUAGAAACUAUCAUCUAAGAAGCCUAAAUGAGUCAUGAUGUUUUCCCAGGUAAGAAAUUCAUGCAAAUGGGAGGAUUGAUCUUUGCCAACGCUAGAAUGCAAGAAGGCAAAAUCCA